rnacentral:rRNA from 1 species
CCCGGGCCGGACGGACGGGUAGGUAAGUAACGCGUAUGCUACGUACCUAUCGAGAGGGGAGUAACCGGCGAAAGUCGGACUAAUACCGCAUGAAGCAGGGGCCCGCGAUGGGGAUAUUUGCUAAAGAUUCAUCGCUGAUAGAUAGGCAUGCGUUCCAUUAGGCAGUUGGCGGGGUAACGGCCCACCAAACCGACGAUGGAUAGGGGUUCUGAGAGGAAGGUCCCCCACAUUGGUACUGAGACACGGCCAA